rnacentral:rRNA from 1 species
UUUUGUGGGGUGCUCGAGUGGCGAACGGGUGAGUAACACGUGAGUAACCUGCCCUUGACUUUGGGAUAACUUCAGGAAACUGGGGCUAAUACCGGAUAGGAGCUCCUGCUGCACGGUGGGGGUUGGAAAGUUUCGGCGGUUGGGGAUGGACUCGCGGCUUAUCAGCUUGUUGGUGGGGUAGUGGCUUACCAAGGCUUUGACGGGUAGCCGGCCUGAGAGGGUGACCGGCCACAUUGGGACUGAGAUACGGCCCAG